rnacentral:rRNA from 1 species
GACAAACGCUGGCGGCGUACCUAAGACAUGCAAGUCGGACGGAUCAGCAUCCUUUCGGGGGUGCUGGUGAGUGGCGAACGGGUGAGUAACACGUAGGAACCUGUCGCGCAGUGGGGGAUAACGCGGGGAAACCGGCGCUAAGACCGCAUGUGGUCCUGGCGGUAAGAGGCCAGGACGAAAGCUCGCAGGAGCGCUGUGUGAGGGGCCUGCGGCCGAUUAGCCAGUUGGUGGGGUAAGGGCCUACCAAAGCGACGAUCGGUAGCUGGUCUGAGAGGAU